rnacentral:rRNA from 1 species
UCCUACGGGAGGCAGCAGUGGGGAAUUUUGGACAAUGGGCGCAAGCCUGAUCCAGCCAUGCCGCGUGAGUGAAGAAGGCCUUCGGGUUGUAAAGCUCUUUCGGCCGGGAAGAAAUCGUGGUCUCUAACAUAGGCCAUGGAUGACGUACCGAAUAAAAAGACCGCUAUUUC